rnacentral:tRNA from 1 species
UAUACUAUGGUGUAUAUUGCACAAAGAAUUUUGAUUUCUUAGGUUUAGGGUAAAUCCCUAUUAGUAUAA